rnacentral:rRNA from 1 species
GAUGAACGCUAGCGACAGGCCUAACACAUGCAAGUCGAGGGGCAGCACAUGAGUAGCAAUACGAUGGUGGCGACCGGCGCACGGGUGAGUAACACGUAUGCAACCUGCCUGUAAGAGGGGGAUAACCCGGAGAAAUUCGGACUAAUACCGCAUAAUACCACGAGACUGCAUGGUUUUGUGGUUAAACAUUUAUGGCUUACAGAUGGGCAUGCGUAUGAUUAGAUAGUUGGUAGGGUAACGGCCUACCAAGUCUACGAUCAUUAGGGGUUCUGAGAGGAAGGUCCCCCACACUGGUACUGAGACACGGACCAGACUCCUACGGGAGGCAGCAGUGAGGAAUAUUGGUCAAUGGGCGAGAGCCUGAACCAGCCAAGUCGCGUGAAGGAGAAGGUUCUAUGGAUUGUAAACUUCUUUUAGCAGGGGAAUAAAGGACGGUACGUGUACUGUUUUGUAUGUACCUUGCGAAUAAGGAUCGGCUAACUCCGUGCCAGCAGCCGAC